rnacentral:Y_RNA from 1 species
AGCUGGUCCAACGUUAAUGAGUUUUCUCAAUUCAGUGUUCACAGUCAGUUACAGAUCAGACUUGUUCUACUCUUCCCCCCUUCUCAGUACUGUACUUGACUGGUCUUAA